GGCAGGCGCACAUAGCGGUGGCACGUCCGGUGGCAGGCGCACAUAGCGGUGGCAGGUCCGGUGGCAGCUGCCCCUGCCACGCAAAGUGGCCCACCAGUAGCUACACGACAUCCGCCUUUGAUCUUGUAGGUGUCUUAUUUCAUUCCUCCUCUCUCACUGCAGCCGCCUUACUCUCGCCUAAAUUUCAGGCGAGGGUAGCCGCAUCUCAAACGAGCGAGUCUAAUGUGUGUUCGACUUGAAGGUCGGUGUAUGAGGUCCGUGUAAGCAUACAGAGCCGUCUGCUCUCUAGAGCUCUCGCGAUAGAUUUGCGCUGCUUCCAUUCGAACAACCCGGGAUUAGCAAUUUUGGCCUGUUCAAAGAAAAGACCGAAAAUAACAAGUGAGGCCUGUUCGAAGAAAAGACCGAGAUUAGCAACUAAGCUUUUGCUAUCGCACAGGGAAGGUUUUCCGGAACGCAUUGAAAAUGAAAUUCUUUUCCAGUGUCUUCAUAUUAAUUUCAGUCACUGUGUGUGUUGCUGAGUUGAAGUUGGAGGCAACUGAUGGAGAAAAUGUUACUAUAUCCUUCAAAACUGCUGAACUGGAGAGAGCCGAUCGAGUGAGGAUAACUUUUACAAGAGAAAAUCUGAUAAACUUGAUUGCGCAAUACUGUCGCUGUGCUCAUUGUAGGGACUGUUUUGUUGUGGAAACACCUGGAGUCUUACUGCGAGUUGAAGAAGGAACCUUAAUUCUUCUAAAUGUCAGCUCCGAAAGCUCAGGCCUCUAUGAAGCAAAAAUCAUCACUGGAAACAAUGUGUCUAAGAAGAACUGCUACACUUGUUGUCGAACCACCAUUUUCCUCCAGUAGAGCGCCACCACAAACCUCCAUCUCAAAACCUCCCAACUCCUCUGAACGCCAAAGGCUAUAUGUAUUAAUUGCUCCAGUGUUCAUCUUGGGUGUUUGUUUCUUCUGUAAAUGCAUGAGG